UCGAGGCCGAGAUCCAAAGGCAACGUUCGUUCUCUUCAUUUCUCAUUUUAGUCGUUGAAAUGACAAUGGAAAGCAGAUAGAGGAUUGUCCAAUGCUUGCGCAUACGAACAUUCAAGAAAUUCCAACUCUCAUUCAUCUUUGAUUCAUACUCUUUUCACUUGAACCAGACGUUUGAAAUAAUGCAACCUUGUAAAAUUUGGUGUUUAAUUUGCUAUGGAAGAUGUCAAUUCAAAAUUUGUUUCCAA